CUACGGGAGGCAGCAGUGAGGAAUAUUGGACAAUGGGCGCAAGCCUGAUCCAGCCAUGCCGCGUGCAGGAUGACGGUCCUAUGGAUUGUAAACUGCUUUUGUACGGGAAGAAACACUCUUACGUGUAGGAGCUUGACGGUAUCGUAAG
rnacentral:rRNA from 1 species